GACGAACGCUGGCGGCGCGCUUAACACAUGCAAGUCGAGCGAGAACCAGGGCUUCGGUCCUGGGGACAGCGGCGAACGGGUGAGUAACACGUGGGUAAUCUGCCCUCGGCAUCGGGAUAGCCCGGGGAAACCCGGAUUAAUACCGAAUAGCCUCCGGAGCCUUCGGGCGCCGGAGAAAAGGUAGCUUCGGCCUCUGGCCGAGGAUGAGCCCGCGGCGGAUUAGCUUGUUGGCGGGGUAAAGGCCCACCAAGGCGACGAUCCGUAGCUGGUCUGAGAGGACGAUCAGCCACACUGGGGCUGAGACACGGCCCAGACUCCUACGGGAGGUAGCAGUGGGGAAUCUUGCGCUAAUGCGGGAAACCGUGACGCAGCGACGCCGCGUGGGGGAAGAAGGCCUUCGGGUUGUAAACCUCUUUCAGGAGGGACGAAGCUACUCGGGUGAAUAGCCCAGAGGGUGACGGUACCUCCAGAAGAAGCCCCGGCUAACUACGUGCCAGCAGCCGCUGUAAGAC
rnacentral:rRNA from 1 species